rnacentral:tRNA from 2 species
CAAAAUGUAGCUUAAUCAAAGCACCUGACUUACACUCAGGAGAUUUCAUAUUAUAUGACCAUUUUGA